rnacentral:rRNA from 1 species
CCCUUAGAUGUUCUGGGCCGCACGCGCGCUACACUGAUGCAUUCAACGAGUUUUUCCUGGUCCGAGAGGAAUGGGUAACCUUUUGAAAGUGCAUCGUGCUAGGGAUAGACUAUUGCAAUUAUUGGUCUUCAACGAGGAAUUCCUAGUAGACGUAGUUCAUCAGACUGCAUCGAUUACGUCCCUGCCCUUUGUACACACCGCCCGUCGCUACUACCGAUUGAAUGGUUUAGUGAGAUCCUUGGAUCGGCCCUGUCGCGGCUGGCAACGGCCGCGUCGGCGCGUCGAGAAGACGAUCAAACUUGAUCAUUUAGAGGAAGUAAAAGUCGUAACA